UACGUAGGGUGCAGGCGUUAAUCGGAAUUACUGGGCGUAAAGCGUGCGCAGGUGGUUUGCUAAGACAGGUGUGAAAUCCCCGGGCUUAACCUGGGAACUGCGCUUGUUACUGGCAAGCUGGAGUGUGGCAGAGGGGGGUGGAAUUCCACGUGUAGCAGUGAAAUGCGUAGAGAUGUGGAGGAACACCGAUGGCGAAGGCAGCCCCCUGGGCUAACACUGACGCUCAUGCACGAAAGCGUGGGGAGCAAACAGG
rnacentral:rRNA from 1 species